UGGGGAAUAUUGGACAAUGGGCGAAAGCCUGAUCCAGCCAUGCCGCGUGUGUGAAGAAGGUCUUCGGAUUGUAAAGCACUUUAAGUUGGGAGGAAGGGCAUUAACCUAAUACGUUAGUGUUUUGACGUUACCGACAGAAUAAGCACCGGCUAACUCUGUGCCAGCAGCCGCGGUAAUACAGAGGGUGCAAGCGUUAAUCGGAAUUACUGGGCGUAAAGCGCGCGUAGGUGGUUUGUUAAGUUGGAUGUGAAAUCCCCUGGCUCAACCUGGGAACUGCAUUCAAAACUGACUGACUAGAGUAUGGUAGAGGGUGGUGGAAUUUCCUGUGUAGCGGUGAAAUGCGUAGAUAUAGGAAGGAACACCAGUGGCGAAGGCGACCACCUGGACUAAUACUGACACUGAGGUGCGAAAGCGUGGGGAGCAAACC
rnacentral:rRNA from 1 species